GAUGAACGCUGGCGGCGUGCCUAAUACAUGCAAGUCGAGCGAACGGACGAGAAGCUUGCUUCUCUGAUGUUAGCGGCGGACGGGUGAGUAACACGUGGAUAACCUACCUAUAAGACUGGGAUAACUUCGGGAAACCGGAGCUAAUACCGGAUGAUAUUUUGAACCGCAUGGUUCAAAAGUGAAAGACGGUCUUGCUGUCACUUAUAGAUGGAUACGCGCUGCAUUAGCUAGUUGGUAAGGUAACGGCUUACCAAGGCAACGAUGCAUAGCCGACCUGAGAGGGUGAUCGGCCACACUGGAACUGAGGCACGGUCCAGACUCCUACGGGAGGCAGCAGUAGGGAAUCUUCCGCAAUGGGGGAAAGCCUGACGGAGCAACGCCGCGUGAGUGAUGAAGGUCUUCGGAUCGUAAAACUCUGUUAUUAGGGAAGAACAUAUGUGUAAGUAACUGUGCACAUCUUGACGGUACCUAAUCAGAAAGCCACGGCUAACUACGUG
rnacentral:rRNA from 1 species